rnacentral:rRNA from 1 species
GACGAACGCUGGCGGCGUGCCUAAUACAUGCAAGUCGAGCGAAUGGAUGGGAGCUUGCUCCCUGAAGUUAGCGGCGGACGGGUGAGUAACACGUGGGCAACCUGCCUGUAAGACUGGGAUAACUUCGGGAAACCGGAGCUAAUACCGGAUACAUUCUUUCUUCGCCUGAAGAAAGAUGGAAAGAUGGUUUCGGCUAUCACUUACAGAUGGGCCCGCGGCGCAUUAGCUAGUUGGUGAGGUAACGGCUCACCAAGGCAACGAUGCGUAGCCGACCUGAGAGGGUGAUCGGCCACACUGGGACUGAGAAACGGCCCAGACUCCUACGGGAGGCAGCAGUAGGGAAUCUUCCGCAAUGGACGAAAGUCUGACGGAGCAACGCCGCGUGAGCGAAGAAGGCCUUCGGGUCGUAAAGCUCUGUUGUUAGGGAAGAACAAGUACCAGAGUAACUGCUGGUACCUUGACGGUACCUAACCAGAAAGCCACGGCUAACUACGUGCCAGCAGCCGCCGUAACAC